rnacentral:lncRNA from 1 species
AAUAUUUAUAGAGUUACCGGUAAAUAAUUUUUUUAACGUAAAAGCUAAAUAAAUUCAUACAUAUUGUAAUACAGAUAACCAAAGCAUAAGAUUUAAUUUACAGUGACACGUGGGCCCAUGAACAACCAAAAGUACCAAAAGCAGUAAACCUACAGUUUUUGAUGAUGCAAGUCCAACUGCAACCCUCAACGAAAUGAGCUAUGUACCGACUAUCUUGAGCCUGAAAUGGGUGAAAAUGAGGGUGGUGAGAUUAUAUAAUCCCAGUGAGCAAACAAAUAUCAUCCAAAAUAUCUAAAGCUAAGUAAAUGGAGACAGAUUAAAAUAGAUUAUCAUACUGUAAUUCAUUACCUUUCAACUCAUUUCAACCAAAUAAAAUCAAUUCAUAUAAAUCGAGUAAUCAACAUGGCUUAUGAAUUUGUUAAAACUUUGGCUCGUGCCAAAAUCAUUCUCAUACUCGGUUGUUAGGGAUACCUUGGCCUGGGGCUAUCCUAACCGAGUUCGCCAAGGUUGUUAAAAAGUCAUGUACGCAUAAAUCAUGUUUUUAUUUUGAAAACAUAGCCGUUCCUUGGCGUUGGCUGAGUUCACGCUCACGUGGUGCUUUGGCGUGAAGUGAACUUUAAAGAUGUACCUCGGGAGUUACCCUACACACCUCUCCGAUCGAGGUAAGAAUAUAACGGGGUUACCGUGCCCCUCUAAUAGGUUGGUCCACGAAACUCGCCCACUGCAGCAAGCUAAACCCACCAAUUCAAUAAAAUCUCAACCGCAUGACAUGGCAAUUAUAUCACAAUCCAGCCUCUCAAGGCUAAAUACACAGUUCAUAUAUUUCAACACAAAUACCAAUUCAACCAUUCAUGCAAAUAUUGUCAUAAGCCAUUCGAUUCAAACCAUGAAUUUACAACACAUGAAAACAGUCUCCAAUUACUCUAUUUUCAAACCAUCAUUUCAUUUCAAGACAAUGUUAUAAAAUCAUUUCAUUAAAUCACAUUUUAAUUACAAAACACAAAGAUUUACCAUUUAACUCAUUUUCCAUAAAAUCACAAAAUCGGAUAAAAACCACUUUAGAUAAUUAAGAUGAUAGUAAGGUUACUC